rnacentral:rRNA from 1 species
GACGAACGCUGGCGGCGUGCUUAACACAUGCAAGUCGAGCGGAGCGGCGAACGGGUGAGUAACGCGAGAGUAACUGCCCCCCUCUCUGGGAUAACAGUUGGAAACGGCUGCUCAUACCGGAUAGGGGGGGAUGACGCGCGUCAUAUCCGCUUGUUGGUUGGGUAGGGGCCGACAAAGGCGACGACGGGUACCCGGCCUGCGAGGGCGACCGGCCACAUUGGGCUGAGAUACGGCCCAAACUCCUACGGGAGGCAGCAGUGGGGAAUAGUGCACAAUGGGGGAAACCCUGAUGCAGCAACGCCGCGGGCGGGAUGACGGCCUUCGGGGUGUAAACCGCUUUCAGCCAUGACGCGGUAGUGGCAGAAGAAGCACCGGCUAACUACGUGCCAGCAGCCGCGGUAAUUC